rnacentral:rRNA from 1 species
UUGAACGCUGGCGGCAUGCCUUACCCCUGCAAGUCGAACGGCAGCAUGAUCUAGCUUGCUCGAUUGAUGGCGAGUGGCGAACGGGUGAGUAAUACAUCGGAACGUGCCCUGUAGUGGGGGAUAACUAGUCGAAAGAUUAGCUAAUACCGCAUACGACCUGAGGGUGAAAGUGGGGGACCGCAAGGCCUCAUGCUAUAGGAGCGGCCGAUGUCUGAUUAGCUAGUUGGUGAGGUAAAGGCUCACCAAGGCGACGAUCAGUAGCUGGUCUGAGAGGACGAUCAGCCACACUGGGACUGAGACACGGCCCAGACUCCUACGGGAGGCAGCAGUGGGGAAUUUUGGACAAUGGGCGAAAGCCUGAUCCAGCAAUGCCGCGUGUGUGAAGAAGGCCUUCGGGUUGUAAAGCACUUUUGUCCGGAAAGAAAUGGCUCUGGUUAAUACCUGGGGUCGAUGACGGUACCGGAAGAAUAAGGACCGGCUAACUACGUG